ensembl:lncRNA
GCUUAUUUUAGUUGCUGUUGCCUGUUGCUGAAGCAGUCUGACCUUCUCCUCUGACCCCUGCUUCAGCAAAGUAUUUUCACCCGGAGAACAGCUGCUCACUUCAUAUUUUCUCUUUUUCAGCCCAUUCUCUGUAAACCCUUGAGAUGGUUGUGUGGGGAAAAUCCCAGCAGAUCAUCAGUUUCUGAAAUAUUCAGACCAGCUCGUCUGGCACCAACAACCAUCCAAUGCUCAAAAUCACUUAAACCGCCAUUCUUUCACAUUCUGAUGCUCAGCUUGAACAUCAACUAGUUAGGCCUGACCCCUAAAUGUAAAGGAGUUGCUGCCAUGUAAUUGGCUGAUUCGAUACUACUAAUAAUAAUAAGAUAAUGACUUGAUGUACCUAAUGAAGUGGCCAGUGAGUGUAAAUAUUUAGGGAUGCUUUUGUUAGUUGAGUACCAGACAUGUUAUAGUUUUGUGUCCUCCAAUUAGUUUUCAUUUUAAUUUCAUUUUGACUGUUUGAUUUAGUUUUAUUUAGUUAGGGCUUUUUUUGUAUUUUUUUUUUUUUUUUUUGCAUUUCCGUUUAGUUUUUCAUUAGUUUUAGUGUUUUUAUUUAAUAUUGUAUGAAGGAACAUGCCAGAGGCAAGAUAUAGGAAAAUCAGCAUAAGUAGCACAAUACAAAACAGAGCUUUUUGAAAGCAGUUAACUCACAGUUUUGUAGAAAUGCUAAGUCUCAGUACAAACUAAAGCCUCAUCAGGCAAGCUGUGAUAAUACAUUUUGCCAGACUGACAAGGAGUAAACCUAAGGAUGUUUUCUUUAUAGUUUGAGUUUAUUUGAGUUAGUUGUUCACAAAAUCAUUUCAGUUCAUUUUUAUUUUCUUUCCCUACAAAAAAUAUUUUAGCAAACAAACUAAAAUUGUAUAUUUCACCUUAAUUUUCAGUUUCAGUUUACUUACAGCAACCUUGUUAGAUAGAUAACUAGUUCAGACGAAGCGUUCUCAAUUAGGCCCUUUGGGAAUAAAGACAGAGCUGUCGAGGAUUCAGCACUAGACAGCUCCCAUCAAGUCCGCACAGGCAGAGCUGAGCAGACAGCGGGGGUGAAGCGGACAUGAUCCAAUCAAUCUCACAUUGGAUAUGACCCUGCGUGGCAGCUCAGUG